rnacentral:rRNA from 1 species
AUUGAACGCUGGCGGCAGGCCUAACACAUGCAAGUCGAACGAGUGGCGGACGGGUGAGUAAUGUCUGGGAAACUGCCCGAUGGCGGGGGAUAACUACUGGAAACGGUAGCUAAUACCGCAUACCAUCGGAUGUGCCCCGAUGGGAUUAGCUAGUAGGCGGGGUAACGGCGCACUUAGGCGACGAUCCCUAGCUGGUCUGAGAGGAUGUCCGGCCACACUGGAAAUGAGACUCGGUCCAGACUCCGACGGGAGGCAGAAGUGGGGAAUAUUGCACAAUGGGCGCAAGCCUGAUGCAGCCGUGCCGCGUGUAUGAAGAAGGCCGUCGGGUUGUAAAGUACUUGCAGCGAGGAGGCGUUACUCGCAGAAGAAGCACCGGCUAACUCCGUGCCAGCAGCCGCGGUAAUAC